rnacentral:rRNA from 1 species
CAGCCGCCGCGGGAAUACGGAGGGUGCAAGCGUUAAUUGGAAUUACUGGGCGUAAAGCGCACGCAGGCGGUCUGACAAGUCAGAUGUGAAAUCCCCGGGCUUAACCUGGGAACUGCAUUUGAAACUGUCAGGCUGGAGUCUUGUAGAGGGGGGUGGAAUUCCAGGUGUAGCGGUGAAAUGCGUAGAGAUCUGGAGGAAUACCGGUGGCGAAGGCGGCCCCCUGGACAAAGACUGACGCUCAGGUGCGAAAGCGUGGGGAGCAAACAGGAUUAGAUACCCCGGUAGUCCCUGUCUCUUAUAC